rnacentral:rRNA from 1 species
UACGUAGGGUGCGAGCGUUGUCCGGAAUUAUUGGGCGUAAAGAGCUUGUAGGCGGUUUGUCGCGUCUGCCGUGAAAAUCCGAGGCUCAACCUCGGACUUGCGGUGGGUACGGGCAGGCUAGAGUGUGGUAGGGGAGACUGGAAUUCCUGGUGUAGCGGUGAAAUGCGCAGAUAUCAGGAGGAACACCGAUGGCGAAGGCAGGUCUCUGGGCCACUACUGACGCUGAGAAGCGAAAGCAUGGGGAGCAAACAGG